rnacentral:tRNA from 1 species
UCCCUGGUGGUCCAGUGGUUUGGACUCCAUACUUCUACUGCAGGGGCCAUGGGUUCAAUCCCCUGUCAGGGAA